UUUCCAUGCUAGCAUGGGUCACAUCGAAUUUAUUGAGACGGAUUUUCUAUGGCCUGUUGCCCUUCUGGUCACCAACCUUCACCUGUUUCCAAACAAGGUGAUAUUUCCUCCAUGGCUAGACAUGUUUCUCAAAGAGGACUGGAAAUG